rnacentral:piRNA from 1 species
UAGAUUUGAUGCGUCUGACCUGGAA